CAACUAAAUGCUGAUUGCGGCCACACCCUCUUUGAACCCUGACAUAACCCAGUCCCAGCCCCAUCCAGGAAUCAGCAUUUUAAAAAUCAGAUGUCUGGCAGGCCCAGAGGGUUACUCGACCACACCCCGACACAUUCACAGGCAUGUCCCCAUCUUCAGUGAAGAGUUAGAAGGUGAGAGCCUCAGCUUGAGGGAGGCCCCACAUUACUGAGCUGAGUCAGUUUGACUGCUGGUGUUGAAUACAAGGCUUGGACCAGAGGAGCUUUGUUCCCAGGAGCUUUGCUAACAGGAGUUUGCAAACAGAUAACAAAGGAGUUUUGCAGGAGUUUGGUGGGAGUUUGGCUGGAAGAGCUGUGGGGAGACACACAAGGCAAGAAUAAGUCUCCUAUGAAGCUCGGACAAAAGAAGACACUUAAAGAAAGUUAUGCUCUGUUUUCAGCCAGCUCUGUUUCUUCACCAUGUCUGGAUACCGUUUUUGUCAAUUGACUGCUACGUCAAAGGUGAUUAAAAAUGGAGUGACCUUCUGACCUUUUGUUUCCAUUUCCUGCUGGAGAGCAACCUUUCAUUCAGCCACAAGUCUCUUAAGAAACGUUUGUUGUGAUUUCAUGUCUGAACUCUAGGAUCAACCUUGAUUUGAGAAGGUGAGGGCAGUAUCUGGGAUAUUUUUGUAGAGGCUUGAAACCCUAAACACUGAACUAAAUGUUUGCUUUUAUAGUUUGGUUUCACUUCCCAAAAUAUGCUAACACACGGAUGUAUGACAGCUUAAUUUAUGGUUAACAAAAUACUAUACCACAA